GUCGUGUGUGUGUCCCCCCCGUAG
rnacentral:piRNA from 1 species